GCUGGGUGUGGUGGCCCACACCUGUAAUCUCAGCUACUUGGGAGGCUGAGGCAGGAGAAUUGCUUGAACCCGGGAGGUGGAGGUUUCAGUGAGUGGAGAUCGUGCCACUGCACUGCAGCCUGGGUGACAGAGCAAGACUCUGUCUCAA
rnacentral:SRP_RNA from 1 species